rnacentral:tRNA from 1 species
GGGGUCGUGGUACAGAGGUCGUUGCACCCCCUUGCGAAGGGGAGGACGCCGGUUCGAAUCCGGCCGCCCCGCCC